UACGGGGGGAGCAAGCGUUGUUCGGAUUUACUGGGCGUAAAGGGCGCGUAGGCGGUCAGCACAAGUCAGUUGUGAAAUCUCCGGGCUUAACUCGGAAAGGUCAACUGAUACUGUGCGACUAGAGUGCAGAAGGGGCAACUGGAAUUCUCGGUGUAGCGGUGAAAUGCGUAGAUAUCGAGAGGAACACCGGUGGCGAAGGCGGCCUGCUGGGCAGUUUAGCUGACACUGAGGCGCGACAGCGUGGGGAGCAAACAGG
rnacentral:rRNA from 1 species